AUCUCUUCGGAGAUAUCGAAUAAAAUUGGUACAGUAUGAGAAGACUAGUAUGUCCCCUGUGCAAGGAUGUCACUCGAAUCGAGAAAUGUCCGAUUUAUUU